rnacentral:piRNA from 1 species
GUCUGUGGAAAGGAGGAACUACUACAAGA